rnacentral:rRNA from 1 species
GACGAACGCUGGCGGCGUGCUUAACACAUGCAAGUCGAACGAAGUGGCGAACGGGUGAGUAACGCGUAAUCAACCUGCCCUUCAGAGGGGGACAACAGUUGGAAACGACUGCUAAUACCGCAUAAUGAAGGAGGGGAUUGCGUCCGAUUAGCCAGUUGGGGGGGUAACGGCCCACCAAGGCGAUGAUCAGUAGCCGGUCUGCGAGGAUGAACGGCCACAAUGGGACUGAGACACGGCCCAGACUCCUACGGGAGGCAGCAGUGGGGGAGCUUCCGGAAUGGACGAAAGUCUGACGGAGCAACGCCGCGUGAGUGAUGACGGCCUUCGGGUUGUAAAGCUCUGUUUAUCGGGACGCGGUACCGGAAUAGAAAGCCACGGCUAACUACGUGCCAGCAGCCGCGGUAAUUC